rnacentral:misc_RNA from 1 species
GCCUUAGGACCAAGAAUCCUGUUAAUGUCAUUCCUAUUAUAUAGCUCAUAGUCAAAACCAUCAGGGACAGUUAUGGUCUUUGAAGGAUCGCCAUCUUGUACAAUGAUAAGAUGGUAAGGUUGAAAAAAAAGGCCUCCACAUUUCCAAGAAAUCGAGGUUCCUUAUUGUGGGAAUCACAAUAUCAAGCUCAUCCUUCAACAAAGGCACUACCUUUGUAGCUGCAUGAGUAUCGGUUGCAGGUUCUACCAUUUUUGAAAAACAGAGCGUGUAUUUGAGAGAGAGGGACCGGUGAGCUAAUGUGAUCGGAGGACAAGAGGAC